AUCUCCCACUUACUCUCUUUGCAGUUUAUAUAUAUUCAAUUACUAAUCUCCAACUUACUUAUUAUAUUCAAUUUCUCAAUUCAUCACACAGAAUUCAAUAUCUUCACUUAACACAAUACAAUUUGAUAAUCUCAAUUCUCAAGGUCACAGAUUUUUUCCAAAACGGUCAAUCCAAAGUCAUAUUCCAUAAUAUUCUAAUCAUAGUUUCAACAAUACUUCUCUCAAUCACAAUUCUUCAUAAGAAAAUAAUAAAAGCAAA
rnacentral:lncRNA from 1 species